rnacentral:rRNA from 1 species
UGAAUACGAGAUGCUACGGCGUCGAAGCAGUCUAUGUCAUACUUCCAAGAAAAGCUUGCACUGUCAUAAACAAAUAAUGCCUGUACCAUAACCGACACAGGUGGGUAGGUAGAGUAUACUAAGGGGCGCGAGAUAACUCUCUCUAAGGAACUCGGCAAAAUGACUCCGUAACUUCGGGAGAAGGAGUGCCUUAUUUAUAAGGUUGCAAUAACAAGAUCCAAGCAACUGUUUACCAAAAACACAGGUCUCCGCUAAGUCGUAAGACGAUGUAUGGGGGCUGACGCCUGCCCAGUGCCAGAAGGUUAAAGAAGUUGGUUAGCAUCCGCGAAGCUGAUAACUGAAGCCCUGGUGAACGGCGGCCGUAACAAUAACGGUCCUAAGGUAGCGAAAUUCCUUGUCGGGUAAGUUCCGACCCGCACGAAAGGCGUAAUGAUUUGGAUACUGUCUCGGAGAGGGGCUCGGUGAAAUAGACUUGUCUGUGAAGAUGCGGAUUACCUGCACCAGGACAGAAAGACCCUAUGAAGCUUUACUGUAACCUGAAAUUGAAAUUGGACUUUACUUGCGCAGUAUAGGUGGGAGGCGUUGAGAAUAUUCUUGCGGGAUUAUUGGAGCCAUCAGUGAGAUACCACUCUUGUAAUGUUAGAUUUCUAACUUUGUAUCAUUAUCUGGUCAAAGAACAGUUUCAGGCGGGCAGUUUGACUGGGGCGGUCGCCUCCUAAACGGUAACGGAGGCGCACAAAGGUUUCCUCUGAACGGGUAGAAAUCGUAUCUAGAGUGUAAAGGCAUAAGGAAGCUUGACUGUGAGACCUACAAGUCGAGCAGGGACGAAAGUCGGUCUUAGUGAUCUGACGGUGCUGAGUGGAAAGGCCGUCACUCAACGGAUAAAAGUUACUCUAAGGAUAACAGGCUGAUCUCCCCCAAGAGUUCACAUCGACGGGGAGGUUUGGCACCUCGAUGUCGGCUCAUCGCAUCCUGGGGCGGUAGUACGUCCCAAGGGUUGGGCUGUUCGCCCAUGAAAGCGGUACGCGAGCUGGGUUCAGAACGUCGUGAGACAGUUCGGUCCAUAUCCGGUGUAGGCGUUAGAAUAUUGAGAGGAGCCUUCUUUAGUACGAGAGGACCGAGAAGGACAUACCUCUGGUGUACCAGUUAUCGUGCCAACGGUAAACGCUGGGUAGCUAUGUGUGGAGUGGAUAACCGCUGAAAGCAUCUAAGUGGGAAGCCCACCUCAAGAUAAG